rfam:Myotis lucifugus cont2.31629, whole genome shotgun sequence.
CCGGGGUGAGGUAGUAAGUUGUAUUGUUGUGUGGGGUAGGGAUUUAAGGCCCCAAUAGAAGAUAACUAUACAACUUACUACUUUCCCUGG